rnacentral:rRNA from 1 species
UGCGUAGGUGGCGUGGUAAGUCGGGUGUGAAAUUUCGGAGCUUAACUCCGAAACUGCAUUCGAUACUGCCGUGCUUGAGGACUGGAGAGGAGACUGGAAUUUACGGUGUAGCAGUGAAAUGCGUAGAGAUCGUAAGGAAGACCAGUGGCGAAGGCGGGUCUCUGGACAGUUCCUGACACUGAGGCACGAAGGGCUAGGGGAGGCAAACG